CUUUUCGGCUUGCUGUGCAGACUGCUGCCGCUCUGGCUGGCUAGGUCGCUCUAUGACUGUGGAUAAAGUUGUAACAUUAGGUUCUGACUGGGCAACAAUCUGACAAAUGACACUGAGCUGGAAUGAUUUUGAAGGAGAAUCUGCCUGCAUCGCUUCCUGUAUUCUGUUUUAAAAUUCAGUUCUUGUGAAGACAAAGGUUCUGCUUACACAAAUGGACUUGAGAGAAACAUUGUUCCCAGCUUAAUUACCCGACAAGAUGGAGUCAGUCUCUAGGUAGAAACUGUUCAAAUGUGGCAGACAGGCUUGCAGUCAGCUUGCUUUAGAAGGCUUUGCCAAACUGUCCCGAAGAUGGCGCCACGUGCUCAGCUUUAGAAAAGCCUGCCUGUGCCUUUCAGGCUGGUGUGUGAAAUCACCAAGCUCCAAACACGGACACAGAUCUGUAGGGACUGUUGCCUGGAAAUACCAUUCCUCUGUUAAAGCGUGAAGAUUAAAAGAGAGAGGUUCUCAGCUAGUCUGUGUACAUCAAGAUUUGUACAGUGCAGAGAACACCAUCACCUAAUCCAACAGUGGCACCCCAGACAUGUCCUGCCCCCCGCAACCAGGU
rnacentral:lncRNA from 1 species